rnacentral:rRNA from 1 species
AUUGAACGCUGGCGGCAGGCCUAACACAUGCAAGUCGAGCGAGAAAGCCUUCGGGUGAGUACAGCGGCGGACGGGUGAGUAACGCGUAGGAAUCUACCUGGUAGUGGGGGACAACAUGGGGAAACCCAUGCUAAUACCGCAUACGCCCUAUGGGGGAAAGCGGGGACCGUUCGGGCCUCGCGCUAUCAGAUGAGCCUGCGUAGGAUUAGCUUGUUGGUGAGGUAAAGGCUCACCAAGGCGACGAUAGAUAGCCGGCCUGAGAGGGUGACCGGCCACAUUGGGACUGAGACACGGCCCAAACUCCUACGGGAGGCAGCAGCUAAGAAUCUUCCGCAAUGGGCGAAAAGCCUGACGGAGCGACGCCGCGUGGACGAAGAAUGCCGAGAGGUUGUAAAGUCCUUUUAUUUGCGAAGAGUAAUGCCUGUAGGUAAUGACAGGCAGAUGACGUUAGCUUAUGAAUAAGCUCCGGCCAAUUACGUGCCAGCAGCCGCGGUAAAGUCGUA